GAGGAAGAAAAGAAAGAAAAAAAAUUUCAGCAGUUGUUUUUGUAUUCCUCUAUUCUAUUAGUGAAAUUUAUGUUUUUCACUCCAUCUCUACUCUCUUUUUUGUUUCUUAAUGUGAAGCUUUUGGUUUGAUACAUUUCUUUCUUCCUUUGUGCUUCAGAACCAUAUUCUGCAUACUACAAAAUUUAUGUUUUCAUUUCUUGU
rnacentral:misc_RNA from 1 species